rnacentral:rRNA from 1 species
GAUGAACGCUGGCGGCGUGCCUAAUACAUGCAAGUCGAGCGAACGGACGAGAAGCUUUCUUCUCUGAUGUUAGCGGCGGACGGGUGAGUAACACGUGGAUAACCUACCUAUAAGACUGGGAUAACUUCGGGAAACCGGAGCUAAUACCGGAUAAUAUUUUGAACCGCAUGGUUCAAAAGUGAAAGACGGUCUUGCUGUCACUUAUAGAUGGAUCCGCGCUGCAUUAGCUAGUUGGUAAGGUAACGGCUUACCAAGGCAACGAUGCAUAGCCGACCUGAGAGGGUGAUCGGCCACACUGGAACUGAGACACGGUCCAGACUCCUACGGGAGGCAGCAGUAGGGAAUCUUCCGCAAUGGGCGAAAGCCUGACGGAGCAACGCCGCGUGAGUGAUGAAGGUCUUCGGAUCGUAAAACUCUGUUAUUAGGGAGGAACAUAUGUGUAAGUAACUGUGCACAUCUUGACGGUACCUAAUCAGAAAGCCACGGCUAACUACGUG